ACCCAGGGGAUUCCUACUGCCUUACAGAACCACAGCUGUGUGACAGAACCUGCUUCUAAUUCCGCGAUGCGAUUUCUGCCCAGUGCUCUGACUGCCAAUCAG
rnacentral:rRNA from 16 species